rnacentral:rRNA from 1 species
ANCNCUGGCCGUUCGAUUUUACACCUUAAGUUGAUCAUGGCUCAUGUUGGAUCACCUCCUUAAGUUGAUCAUGGCUCAGAUUGAACGCUGGCGGCAGGCUUAACACAUGCAAGUCGAGCGGGGAAGGGUAGCUUGCUACCUAACCUAGCUGGCUGUGACUGUGGUGAGUAAUGCUUAAGAAUCUGCCAUUUAUGUGGGUGGACAACAUUCCGAAAGGAAUGCUAAGUACCGCAUACGUCCUACGGGAGAAAGCANAGGAGAUCUUCGGACCUUGCGCUAAAUAGAUGAGCCUAAGUCGGAUUAGCCAGUUGGUGGGUGUAAAGGCCUACCAAGGCUGACGAUCUGUACCGGGUCUGAGAGGAUGAUCCGCCACACUGGGACCGAGACACGGCCCAGACUCCUACGGGAGGCAGCAAGUUGGGGAAUAUUGGACAAUUGGGCGGAAGCCUGAUCCAGCCAUGCCGCGUGUNGUGAAGAAAGGCCUUUUUAGGCUUGUAACAAGCACUUUAAGCCGAAA